UUUCCAGAAUAAUCAAGGUUUUCUACCUCAUUCCUCCCCAAACCUCCUUCCCAAGAUCAACAAGCUAAGCUUUUGCAGGUUCCUGAUGCCUAAACCACCUACCUUAUCGACUCCACAUAUAGAGUUUCGAUAUCUCAUCGAGUCCAAAGGGUCUUUACAAUCUUUAUGAACAGUCAACUAUCCACCACUUGCCAUGGGCAUUUGGAAAAAAUGACUUUAACUAGAAUACUUGAUAGAACCACCUAAUGAGAGUCGGAGGCCACUAAAG
rnacentral:lncRNA from 1 species